rnacentral:misc_RNA from 1 species
GAUGAAGAACGUAGCGAAAUGCGAUAAGUAAUGUGAAUUGCAGAAUUCAGUGAAUCAUCGAAUCUUUGAACGCACAUUGCGCCCCCUGGUAUUCCGGGGGGCAUGCCUGUCCGAGCGUCAUUACAACCCUCAAGCUCAGCUUGGUGUUGGGCCCCGCCGCCCCGGCGGGCCCCUAAGUCAGUGGCGGUGCCGUCCGGCUCCGAGCGUAGUAAUUCUUCUCGCUCUGGAGGUCCGGUCGUGUGCUCGCCAGCAACCCCCAAUUUUUUUCAGGUUGACCUCGGAUCAGGUAGGGAUACCCGCUGAACUUAAGCAUAUCAAUAAGCGGAGGA